UACAGAGGGUGCGAGCGUUAAUCGGAAUUACUGGGCGUAAAGCGUGCGUAGACGGUUAUUUAAGUCGGGUGUGAAAGCCCCGGGCUCAACUGGGGAGGGUCACGCGAUACUGAUCGACUCGAAGGCAGGAGAGGGUAGUGGAAUUCCCGGUGUAGUGGUGAAAUGCGUAGAUAUCGGGAGGAACACCAGUGGCGAAGGCGACUACCUGGCCUGUUCUUGACGCUGAGGCGCGAAAGCUAGGGGAGCAAACGGG
rnacentral:rRNA from 1 species